GGGAGCUUGCUCCUGGAUUCAGCGGCGGACGGGUGAGUAAUGCCUAGGAAUCUGCCUGGUAGUGGGGGAUAACGUCCGGAAACGGGCGCUAAUACCGCAUACGUCCUGAGGGAGAAAGUGGGGGAUCUUCGGACCUCACGCUAUCAGAUGAGCCUAGGCCGGAUUAGCUAGUUGGUGGGGUAAAGGCCUACCAAGGCGACGAUCCGUAACUGGUCUGAGAGGAUGAUCAGUCACACUGGAACUGAGACACGGUCCAGACUCCUACGGGAGGCAGCAGUGGGGAAUAUUGGACAAUGGGCGAAAGCCUGAUCCAGCCAUGCCGCGUGUGUGAAGAAGGUCUUCGGAUUGUAAAGCACUUUAAGUUGGGAGGAAGGGCAGUAAGUUAAUACCUUGCUGUCUUGACGUUACCAACAGAAUAAGCACCGGCUAACUUCGUGCCAGCAGCCGCGGUAAUACGAAGGGUGCAAGCGUUAAUCGGAAUUACUGGGCGUAAAGCGCGCGUAGGUGGUUCAGCAAGUUGGAUGUGAAAUCCCCGGGCUCAACCUGGGAACUGCAUCCAAAACUACUGAGCUAGAGUACGGUAGAGGGUGGUGGAAUUUCCUGUGUAGCGGUGAAAUGCGUAGAUAUAGGAAGGAACACCAGUGGCGAAGGCGACCACCUGGACUGAUACUGACACUGAGGUGCGAAAGCGUGGGGAGC
rnacentral:rRNA from 1 species